rnacentral:lncRNA from 1 species
UGUGUCCCAUGUCUAGAUUUCAGCAUCUAAUAGAGAAUGGAAAUAAGCCAUGGGAAUUGACAUGUGUGUGGAAACAAGAGUUUACAGUUUCAACAGCUGGAAUCAAUCCAAAGGGGAUCAUGAGAACCAAAGGCCCUGGGAAUUUUCAGAACUUGGGGGGUUGCCAUUGAACUCCUCAGAAUUUGGCAUAGAGACCAAGAUCCUAUUCACCUCCCAAUGCUAAGUCACCCUAGGUGCUCUAAGGGCUAUAAUAAUAAAUUUCACAUGACAUUGUUCUUGGCUCUCUAAAUAGCUUAUAUAUCUUAUUCAGAACAGAGUUUGGUUAUCUUUAUCCUUUCCUUUUUAAAAUCUGGUACCAAGAAUUAAAUAUGCACAAUGUUGACUGAAAUUUGAAGGAUGCUAUGUAGACACUGAAGGCCUUCCAUUUACUAUGAAGUGUUCUAAAAUGGCCCAAACAACAGUGGAAGACAUAGAAUAACAGAAGAUCCCUCUAUCGUGAUGACUCAAGCCAGGGAUUUAAUGGAAAAUCUUUUUACCUCUUAAUCUGUUUUCUCUAUGAAGCAUCCCAGAAGAAUCAAAGAUUAUGUCCCUACAUCCCUAUUCUUGGCAAUCGUCUAAUUAGAACGUCACAACCUCUUGGUAGUGAUCUGAAUAAUCUUCUGGAUUACUUAUUGUGUACUACUAGGAUACUGUUGUAUUAAAAUAUGCAUAUCAGUGGAAUAUAAGUGUGCUGUUGGAAUUCUGAUCUACACAAAUCUGACUCUGCCCCUGCCUCUGAUGUGGGAAACCUCUUGAAAUUGGGUAGUCUACUGUUUUUGGUCACUAAGUUUCGAUAUGGUAAGAAUUUCAACUGUGGACUUUUUCCAGUCAUGGGACUUGGUUUCAUAAAUAUUUUAAAGGGAUUUUCACUCCAUCAUUGAUUUUAGAGGAUGGUUGGUAACGCUUCUUAUCCCAAGAAGACCUCCUCUCCUUGGUUCAGACUUCCCAGAUAUCACACUUAAGGUUAGAAUGAAAUCCAUGAACAAUGUGAAUUGAAGAUCUAUCCACUAGGCCAUAUUUUUCAGAAACUGAUAUUUUUACAAUACUUUUGAUAAACUAUACCAAUUAAUAAAAGUAACUGUAAGUUGGUUAUUUCUUAUGACUAAUACAAAUUCUUCAUGAUGCAGUAUUGUGUCAGCUCAAUAUUUUUCUCAAUAAAUAAAAAGUUAAAUCAAGGCAAUUUUUAAGCACAAGCUACAGUGAAUCAUGAAAUUGCUGGUUUGGUAGGACAAAAAUGAUUGUCUCAGUAGUUACAUAUGGUUCAUCCUAAUAUUAGCAACAACCUCAAGAUAAUUUUCUCUGUUCUUUUGCCUCCUAAGAGCUUCAACAUGUAUCUCAAAGCUCAUUCCCUCUUUGUAGAAGCUGCAUCUAAUUU